UGAAUACGAGAUGCUACGGCAUUGAAGCAGUCUAUGUCAGACUUCCAAGAAAAGCUCGCAAUGUCAUAAACAAGAAAUGCCUGUACCAUAACCGACACAGGUGGGUAGGUAGAGUAUACUAAGGGGCGCGAGAUAACUCUCUCCAAGGAACUCGGCAAAAUGACUCCGUAACUUCGGGAGAAGGAGUGCCUUAUUUUAUAAGGUUGCAAUAACAAGAUCCAAGCAACUGUUUACCAAAAACACAGGUCUCCGCUAAGUCGUAAGACGAUGUAUGGGGGCUGACGCCUGCCCAGUGCCAGAAGGUUAAAGAAGUUGGUUAGCCUAGCGAAGCUGAUGACUGAAGCCCUGGUGAACGGCGGCCGUAACAAUAACGGUCCUAAGGUAGCGAAAUUCCUUGUCGGGUAAGUUCCGACCCGCACGAAAGGCGUAAUGAUUUGGAUACUGUCUCGGAGAGGGGCUCGGUGAAAUAGACUUGUCUGUGAAGAUGCGGACUACCUGCACCUGGACAGAAAGACCCUAUGAAGCUUUACUGUAACUUGAGAUUGAAAUUGGACUUUAUUUGCGCAGUAUAGGUGGGAGACGUUGAGAAUAUUCUUGCGGGAGUAUUGGAGUCAUCAGUGAGAUACCACUCUUGUAAUGUUAGAUUUCUAACUUUGGAUCAUUAUCUGGUCAAAGGACAGUUUCAGGCGGGCAGUUUGACUGGGGCGGUCGCCUCCCAAACGGUAACGGAGGCGCACAAAGGUUUCCUCUGAACGUGUAGAAAUCGUAUCUAGAGUGUAAAGGCAUAAGGAAGCUUGACUGUGAGACCUACAAGUCGAGCAGGGACGAAAGUCGGUCUUAGUGAUCUGACGGUGCUGAGUGGAAAGGCCGUCACUCAACGGAUAAAAGUUACUCUAAGGAUAACAGGCUGAUCUCCCCCAAGAGUUCACAUCGACGGGGAGGUUUGGCACCUCGAUGUCGGCUCAUCGCAUCCUGGGGCGGUAGUACGUCCCAAGGGUUGGGCUGUUCGCCCAUGAAAGCGGUACGCGAGCUGGGUUCAGAACGUCGUGAGACAGUUCGGUCCAUAUCCGGUGUAGGCGUUAGAAUAUUGAGAGGAGCCUUCUUUAGUACGAGAGGACCGAGAAGGACAUACCUCUGGUGUACCAGUUAUCGUGCCAACGGUAAACGCUGGGUAGCUAUGUAUGGAGAGGAUAACCGCUGAAAGCAUCUAAGUGGGAAGCCCACCUCAAGAUAAGUAUUCUC
rnacentral:rRNA from 1 species